CACUAUGAAAUAAAGUGUUUUGCUCAAGAACACAAUGUGCUGCCUGGUUCAGGAAGUUGAACCCAUAAUCUAGUGAUUAUGAGUGCAACACCAUAACUACUA